rnacentral:misc_RNA from 1 species
GAGGAGCUGGAGUUGAAAGGAACUUUAGCAAGGCAUUGGAGUGGCUUACUCUUGCAUCCAGGCAGCAACUUUAUUCUGCUUACAAUGGUUUGGGCUAUCUCUAUGUCAAAGGAUAUGGAGUGGAAAAGAACUACACUAAGGCAAAAGAGUAUUUUGAGAAGGCUGCAGACAAUGGAGAGGCUGGUGGUUUCUACAACCUCGGAGUAAUGUAUCUUAAAGGAAUUGGGGUGAAGAGGGAUGUGAAAAUAGCGUCCAAAUACUUCAUUACAGCUUUUGAUGCUGGUCAACCAAAAGCAUUUUAUCAACUGGCAAAAAUGUUCCAUACUGGUGUAGGUCUUAAGAAGAAUGUUCCACUGGCAUCUUCCUUGUACAAACUAGUUGCAGAACGUGGACCAUGGAGUUCUUUGUCUAGAUGGGCACUAGAGUCUUAUUUGAGAGGAGAUGUGGGCAGGGCUUUCCUUCUAUAUUCAAGAAUGGCAGAGUUAGGAUAUGAGAUUGCGCAAAGUAAUGCUGCAUGGAUCCUUGACAAAUAUGGAGAAAGAAGCAUGUGUUUGGGAGAAUCUGGAAUUUGCAGUGAUGAAGAGAGGCAUCAACGCUCGCAUGCCUUGUGGUGGCAAGCUUCAGAGCAGGGUAAUGAACAUGCUGCAUUACUUAUUGGAGAUGCAUAUUACUAUGGUCGGGGUACUGAGCGGGACUAUGACCGUGCAGCUGAGGCAUAUAUGCAUGCAAAAUCACAAUCUAAUGCCCAAGCUAUGUUUAAUCUGGGUUACAUGCAUGAGCAUGGCCAAGGACUACCAUUUGAUCUUCAUCUUGCCAAGCGUUAUUACGAUCAAGCAUUGGAAGUUGAUCAUGCGGCAAAGUUGCCUGUAACAUUGGCCCUUGGAAGCUUGUGGAUAAGGAAAAACUACGCCAAUGGUAUCCUGGUUAACGUAAUUGAUUCCUUACCAGAAAUUUACCCCAAAGUGGAAGCAUGGGUGGAAGAUGUCCUAAUGGAAGAAGGAAAUGCAACGAUUCUCACCCUCUUUGUAUGCCUUCUAACGGUACUUUACCUACGCGAGCGGCAGCGUAGGCAUGUUGCUGCUGCUGCUGGAGAGGUCGCGUUCCCUCAUCAACUUGGGGAGCAAGGUGUGCCUGUAAUCCAUUAAUAUAUUCCCAGAUAGCGGAAGAGUAAGAUUCUUUUGCAGAAAAAAUAUGUAGAAAUUUUUUCUUGUUUUGGUCAUAGAGAGAUGCCCUUUUGUUUUGGGCAAUGUUAUAUAUUUGUCAUACACACUGACUAAAUAGAAUGGAGUGGUUUUUUGUCACUAACAUGAUUUCGC